rnacentral:rRNA from 1 species
UACGUAGGGUGCGAGCGUUAAUCGGAAUUACUGGGCGUAAAGCGUGCGCAGGCGGUUUUGUAAGCCAGAUGUGAAAUCCCCGGGCUCAACCUGGGAAUGGCAUUUGGGACUGCAAGGCUGGAGUGCGGCAGAGGAGACUGGAAUUCCUGGUGUAGCAGUGAAAUGCGUAGAUAUCAGGAGGAAUACCGAUGGCGAAGGCAGGUCUCUGGGCUGACACUGACGCUGAGGCGCGAAAGCUCGGGGAGCGAACGGG